AUUGAACGCUGGCGGCAGGCCUAACACAUGCAAGUCGAACGAGUGGCGGACGGGUGAGUAAUGUCUGGGAAACUGCCCGAUGGAGGGGGAUAACUACUGGAAACGGUAGCUAAUACCGCAUACUAUCGGAUGUGCCCAGAUGGGAUUAGCUAGUAGGUGGGGUAACGGCUCACCUAGGCGACGAUCCCUAGCUGGUCUGAGAGGAUGACAAGCCACACGGGAACGGAGACACGGUCAAGACUCCUACGGGAGACAGCAGUGGGGAGUAUUGCACAAUGGGGGAAGGCCUGAUGCAGCCAUGCCGGGUGUAUGAAGAAGGCCUUCGGGUUGUAAAGUACUUUCAGCGAGGAGGGGUUACUCGCAGAAGAAGCACGGGCUAACUCCGUGCAAGCCGCCGCGGAAAUA
rnacentral:rRNA from 1 species